GCCGGGGUGUCGGAACUGGGAGACGCAGCGGACUUAAAAUCCGCUGGCCCUUUGGGGCCGUGGGGGUUCGAUUCCCUCCCUCGGCACCA
rnacentral:tRNA from 1 species